UACGGAGGAUGCGAGCGUUAUCCGGAUUUAUUGGGUUUAAAGGGUGCGUAGGCGGAUCGUUAAGUCAGUGGUCGAAUUGAGGGGCUCAACCCCUUCCCGCCAUUGAAACUGGCGAUCUUGAGUGGAAGAGAAGUAUGCGGAAUGCGUGGUGUAGCGGUGAAAUGCAUAGAUAUCACGCAGGACCCCGAUUGCGAAGGCAGCAUGCCGGCUUCCUACUGACGCUGAAGCACGAAAGCGUGGGGAUCGAACAGG
rnacentral:rRNA from 1 species